UAACACAGAGUCUAUCUCUUGAGUCUUUGAAUCUAGAGUUAUUAAGUGAAUUUGUUCAAGUGUAAUAAAUAUAAAUAAAGUUUUUGGCAUAAAAGAAGUUUUUGAUAGACCAGUCUCGCGGAACAGACUUAGAACCAACUUUUUUUGUAAUAUAUUACUCCGAGUAAUAUAGCUCGCGCGACGACCUUAUAACAAGUCAGGAAACCGGAAGCUGGGCGCUUCAGAAUCAUCAAUCCAUCGCGGCCGGGCAUCAAAAUCUUCGUGUUGGUUGAUAUCUAUGGUUUUUAAUGAGGUGCUCUAGCACACUUGAAGGUCCUGAUCUAAUAUGGAUUGUUGCGCCAGCGAUUAUUAUUAUUAUUUUAUCUCUUACUUCAAAUGAACUGAGUAUCACACAUAAGGUUUCCUUGGCAAAUUUAGAUGUGAAAGGGGCGCAACGGCAAAAGGUAAAUGACUGGUUCGACGUUCUAAACGUAAGAGUUCCAAGCCACCCGAGGAAAUUCAAUGGGAUGAUUUCAGCGAGAUUUAAUACGAUGGACUCGAAAACUUGGCGGGUUUCAUUUCCCAUAAAAUGAAGACCUUAAAUUCAGAGAUUUGAGCGAGCGAAGCUGCAACGACCAAGUUGACAUGGGUGGACCAUCUUUCCGGGGGAGGAUUAUCUAAGUUCACUGAGGCUUUCAUGCAGACCAUCCAAAAGUUGAGGUACUUUUUGAAAAUUGUAAUCCUAACAAUUCCCUCUCUAUUUGCACCAACUAUAUCACCGCACAUCUUCAUUUGAGCCAGGGCAUCGACUGCAGCGUUAAAAUUAAAAAAGUGUUUUUUAAGUCUAGAAUGUAUUUUAUAAACUAGCCUUAAGUGAUGAGAGAAUAAAGCAAAGAAAAAUGAGAAAAAUUGUUAAAUAGACACCAGAA